GAUGAACGCUGGCGGCGUGCCUAAUACAUGCAAGUCGAGCGAACGGACGAGAAGCUUGCUUCUCUGAUGUUAGCGGCGGACGGGUGAGUAACACGUGGAUAACCUACCUAUAAGACUGGGAUAACUUCGGGAAACCGGAGCUAAUACCGGAUGAUAUUUUGAACCGCAUGGUUCAAAAGUGAAAGACGGUCUUGCUGUCACUUAUAGAUGGAUCCGCGCUGCAUUAGCUAGUUGGUAAGGUAACGGCUUACCAAGGCAACGAUGCAUAGCCGACCUGAGAGGGUGAACGGCCACACCGGAACUGAGACACGGUCCAGACUCCUAAGGGAGGCAGCCGUAGGGAAUCUUCCGCCAUGGGUGAAAGCCUGACGGAGCAACGCCGCGUGAGUGAUGAAGGUCUUCGGAUCGUAAAACUCUGUUAUUAGGGAAGAACAUAUGUGUAAGUAACUGUGCACAUCUUGACGGUACCUAAUCAGAAAGGCACGGCUAACUACGUG
rnacentral:rRNA from 1 species